AGAGCGAACGCUGGCGGCAGGCCUAACACAUGCAAGUCGAGCGGCCGUAGCAAUACGGCAGCGGCAGACGGGAUAGUAACACGUGGGAACGCGCCCUUCGGUUCGGAAUAACUCAGGGAAACUUGAGCUAAUACCGGAUACGCCCUUACGGGGAAAGAUUUAUUGCCGAAGGAACGGCCCGCGUCCGAUUAGCUAGUUGGUGAGGUAAUGGCUCACCAAGGCUACGAUCGGUAGCUGGUCUGAGAGGAUGACCAGCAUCACUGGGACUGAGACACGGCCCAGACUCCUACGGGAGGCAGCAGUGGGGAAUAUUGGACAAUGGGCGCAAGCCUGAUCCAGCCAUGCCGCGUGGAUGAUGACGGCCUUAGGGUUGUAAAGUCCUUUUAACGGGGAGAUAAUGACGGUACCCGUAGAAUAAGCCCCGGCUAACUUCGUGCCAGCAGCCGC
rnacentral:rRNA from 1 species